GAUGAACGCUGGCGGCGUGCUUAACACAUGCAAGUCGAACGGAAAGGCCCAAGCUUGCUUGGGUACUCGAGUGGCGAACGGGUGAGUAACACGUGGGUGAUCUGCCCCGCACUUCGGGAUAAGCCUGGGAAACUGGGUCUAAUACCGGAUAGGACCACUUCUUGGAGGUUGUGGUGGAAAGUUUUUUCGGUGUGGGAUGAGCUCGCGGCCUAUCAGCUUGUUGGUGGGGUAAUGGCCUACCAAGGCGUCGACGGGUAGCCGGCCUGAGAGGGUGUACGGCCACAUUGGGACUGAGAUACGGCCCAGACUCCUACGGGAGGCAGCAGUGGGGAAUAUUGCACAAUGGGCGCAAGCCUGAUGCAGCGACGCCGCGUGGGGGAUGACGGCCUUCGGGUUGUAAACUCCUUUCGCUAGGGACGAAGCGCAAGUGACGGUACCUAGAGAAGAAGCACCGGCUAGCUACGUG
rnacentral:rRNA from 1 species